rnacentral:rRNA from 1 species
UACGGAGGGUGCAAGCGUUAUCCGGAUUCACUGGGUUUAAAGGGUGCGUAGGCGGGCAGGUAAGUCAGUGGUGAAAUCUCCAAGCUUAACUUGGAAACUGCCGUUGAUACUAUCUGUCUUGAAUACCGUGGAGAUGAGCGGAAUAUGUCAUGUAGCGGUGAAAUGCUUAGAUAUGACAUAGAACACCUAUUGCGAAGGCAGCUAACUACGCGAAUAUUGACGCUGAGGCGCGAAAGCGUGGGGAGCAAACAGG